rnacentral:tRNA from 1 species
UGAGUUAUUAGCUCAGUUGGUAGAGCAUCUGACUUUUAAUCAGAGGGUCGCAGGUUCGAGCCCUGCAUAACUCAUC